rnacentral:rRNA from 1 species
CACUUCUAAGGAAGGCAGCAGGCGCGCAAAUUACCCAAUCCUGACUCAGGGAGGUAGUGACAAGAAAUAACAAUAAACCGGCUUAUGCCGGUUUAAUUGGAAUGAGUACAAUUUAAACAUCUUAACGAGGAACAAUUGGAGGGCAAGUCUGGUGCCAGCAGCCGCGGUAAUUCCAGCUCCAAUAGCGUAUACUAAAGUUGUUGCAGUUAAAAAGCUCGUAGUUGGAUUUCUGUGGGGACGGAGCGGCCGGCCGCAACACGCGGUUCGAGCUAGCGCUUUCCCUACAUCCUGCCGCGAACCGUGCUACCAUUAGUUUGGUGGCGCCGGGGAUCGGCUCGAUUACUUUGAGAAAAAUAGAGUGUUCAAAGCAGGCCACACGCCUUGAAUAAGUUAGCAUGGAAUAAUAACUAAGGACUUCGGUUCUAUUUUGUUGGUGUUCGGGACUGAAGUAAUGAUUGAUAGGGACAGUUGGGGCGGUCUGUAUUCCAAAGCGAGAGGUGAAAUUCUUAGACCUUCGGAAGACAAACAGCUGCGAAAGCGUUCCGCAAGGAUGUUCCCUUUGAUCAAGAACGAAAGUUGGGGGAUCGAAGACGAUCAGAUACCGUCGUAGUCUCAACUAUAAACUAUACCAGCUAGGGAUCGGCCAACGUUAUUUCAUACCGACUUGGUCGGCACCUUAUGAGAAAUCAAAGCAUCUGGGUUCCGGGGGGAGUAUGGUCGCAAGGCUGAAACUUAAAGGAAUUGACGGAAGGGCACCACCAGCCGUGGAGCCUGUGGCUUAAUUUGACUCAACACGGGAAAACUUACCAGGUCCAGACAUAGUAAGGAUUGACAGAUUGAUAGCUCUUUCUUGAUUCUGUGGGUGGUGGUGCAUGGCCGUUCUUAGUUGGUGGAGUGAUUUGUCUGGUUAAUUCCGUUAACGAACGAGACCCCAGCCUGCUAAAUAGCGCGUGUGAGCUUUGCUCGCAGCGAGCUUCUUAGAGGGACUAUGAUGCGCGAUAGCACAUGGAAGUUUGGGGCAAUAACAGGUCUGUGAUGCCCUUAGAUGUUCUGGGCCGCACACGGGCUACACUGGCGCCUGCAACGAGCAUAUCAGCUGGCCCGAGAGGGUCUUGGCUAAUCUUUUGAACCG